UACAGAGGGUGCGAGCGUUGUCCGGAAUCACUGGGCGUAAAGGGCGCGUAGGCGGCUUGAUAAGGUUGCGGUGAAAGCCCGGGGCUCAACCCCGGGUCGGCCGUGGCAACUGUCGAGCUGGAGCACUGUAGAGGCAGGUGGAAUUCCGGGUGUAGCGGUGGAAUGCGUAGAGAUCCGGAAGAACACCGGUGGCGAAGGCGGCCUGCUGGGCAGUGGCUGACGCUGAGGCGCGACAACGUGGGGAGCAAACAGG
rnacentral:rRNA from 1 species